rnacentral:lncRNA from 1 species
CUGAUUGCAAUACAUAGAGAUGUGUCAAACACAGGGUAUGCUACAAUAUAUGACAAGUCUAGAUACUAUAUGCAGAGGGCAUUGACAACAUCCAAUGACUUUGUGCAGAAGAGCAGCUGGUCCAGGGAAGGAAGUGUAAUUUCAGAGGACCUUGCCCGUCCGAUGGGAAGCAGUUCUGUCUUCAAGGGAGUAGACGGCCAGUGACAGGGACAUGUGCCUUACGCCGAGCUCUGUGCAGAGGAGCAAGGGUGGACACGAAGAACCUGUGCAAGUUGCCCUUGACCUAUGCGACCAGCUGCGCACAACCCCGGACCUGUACCCGAGAUGCACAGCGCUGGUGCCUGAAGGGCAGGUCGAGUCCAGUGUAUGGAAACUGUGCUCUGCUGGCGGCCAUCUGUGACACGAAUGCAGACGUGGACUUCACCAACAGCUGUGGCAGAAUUUGGAAGGGACCCAGAAGAACAGGAGGCAAAGGAAGAAAAAAGCUCGGGAAGAAACUCGGUGGGCUACUCUUUAACAAGAUAUUCGGCUAGAGAACAAGGCCAAAUGUCAUAACCGGAAGCGCUUCAGUUGUUUCCUUUAGCCCUGGUUGGAAUAAAACACUAUACUCCUGAAAUUAUCCUCUUAGCGUUGUUUCUUCGACUUUUGUUGUUCUGUGGCUAUAUAUUAUUUAUACU